UUUGUUAUUGGGAGUUAAUAGUGCGUGCCACGAAAAUUCUGGAUUGGACUGGUACCCUGUAACCAUUAAUACAAAUAAGAUCCUACGUGCACAAGUACAACCCCGAAUAACUCGGCACACUAAUACAGUGACGAAAAUGUACACUACUGCGCAAUUUUGUGCAUGCGUGUUGAAGCGAAAUUUCCCUUUAGGAGAAGCUAGCACGCCGGAGAAGUGAGACCGUGACAACGGUACCUGUCGAUGAUGUUGCCGCGCCGGAUGCGAUGACGGCGAACUCCGAAACACGUGACGUGCACGGCGGGUCUGCACAUAUGGGUCUUCUGCACCUAUCAUUCACUUCCGCGCUCUAUGCCUAGGCCUGCAUGGUUUGGACUGAUAAUUGACGCGGCCAUUUUCAUCUCUAUUUUUGAGGGGCCGACGCGUGCUUGCGAUUUUUUUCCCGGUGCACCUAAUGAACGAAGGAAAGGCCUCAUUCGACUCAGUGAAUAAUAUAGUACAGCUCCAAAUCCAUUCACUACAGCUGCAAGCAAGCAAUUGGAUGCAGGGUUGAUAGCUCUCUUCACACUAAUUGGACUAUUCCUGACCUUGGUGGUUGCUAUAUUGGUGUUUCUGUUCGGCACCGCCGUGGUUGGUAAAUGCCGGAAACUGAUGCAACCUGAAGGUGAGGCACUGUCUUGGAAUUGUGAUCAAUUCUAUGGCAAUAAGAGCAAACGCAUACUGGGAAUCACACCUCUUUGGAGAUGGAGCAACCAAAUGCCGAGUCUCAUGGCGCUCAUAGCGAUCAGCCGGACGCGAGUGCUGGAGGGGGGUCGUCUGCUAACGAGCCAGGCCGUGGCGCUGGGAGAUCGGUACACAUUGAAAAACUUAACAUCACUGGGGAAGACUGCCCAUUCAUUGGCGAAAUUAAAAGCAGCAAGAUCAAGUUUAAGGGACAGCAAAGGAGUGCAAGACAAAAUGAAACCGACUCAACAGUAGGAGGUCAGGAACCCGACACGAUGGAACAGCCUAACCCACCUGGUGCGCCCGUUGGCGGCGGUAGACCUAUGGGAAGCAGUGGGGGCUUCAGUGGUGGGACGGAAUUCAGAAUUGAGAAUUUAAAUGUUGGAGGGUCUGGCAAUCCUGUUAUUGGUGUGGUAGAACAUUCUGACAUUACAUUUUAAAAUAGCUUUUACUUAAACGGUCCCACAAAACACGACAGUCGCAGUCAAAAAUCUGCAAUGCCUCAUUAUUACAUUAUUAAAGUAUAACAUUAUUUGGAAUUUCAAGUUGGUUACACCAAUCCAUUCAGAAGCAAUUAUUGCAAAAUCUCGAAUGAGUUGCACUGAAAACUUUUUGUUUCAUUUCUGAGUUUUGGUUCGUAUGAAAUUAUGAAAAACAACAAGGCUUAACAUUCCAAUUAUCGUUUGCCUUUCUCGAUGCAAUUGUCGUUUAAUCAACUAGAAAAAAAUAGAGCGCCGUUAAUUGAAUGCUUGAUUUGGCAUUGAUGUAUACUAUGUCUAGUGCACCUUGACACUCACAUAAGAAGGCAGGCCUAGCCUAAGCAUAUAGACACAGAAUUUAGGAUUUCUUGGGACCAAUCAAACUAAACACAUUGUAGUAACAAGUCCAUAAACUAAUGCGAAGAUUCACUUCAUUGGGCCCAUAUUAAAUUUUUGUGAGUAUUCAUUUAAUAAACUUGGAAUAGCCAAAUGUAUUUUUUCUGAAAUAUUACCAAUUUGAUGACACUAGCUGUGUUUAUUUUCUUACAUUUAUGCAGAAGAAUGAGCAGAAAGAUAACCGACAUAUUAAAAAAAAAACCAAUCUAGUGAAAUCAAAAAUGCUGCAUACAAUUUGGGGAUAUGCAUUUCACCACUAGGUCUAUAAUGAUCCCUGCAUGCUUCUUAAAAAAGCUAGCUUUUAGAUUUUCUUCGCAUUUCAUAAAAAAAGUACCGCACUUAUAAUUAUCAAAAUUGAAAGAAGUCUAUUUUGAUAUAUAUCGGUUUAUUUUUUCAAUCAAAUGUGACCUCUUCAAAUUUUUAACACUUGCUUUUUAAAAUCAGAUACUGGCUAAUGUGCAAAGAUCUGGUGUUUUUAGAGUACUGCACAAAAAGCUGUUUACGCAUGGAAUGAAUGUACUAGAAUUUGCAAUAAAAAAAUCGUUUGUCUUACAGUU
rnacentral:misc_RNA from 1 species